GGCCAAAAGUUUGGCCGUGUUACCCAUAUCAUACGGUCCUAUGCUCAUAUAAUUCCCUGACAUGAGAGCAGCUGAAAAAUGUCCAUUCCACAACACAAUUGCUUGCACGUUGCCUGAGUGCCUACAGCGUGGGGGAUCGGAUGAGGAAAAGUUUUUAAGCAGAGUUUCCGACGACAGUUUGGCGACCCAUAAAAAUAGAAACAGGAGGAAAUGGGUGGAACUGGGAAGAAAAAGAAAGACACAUCAGCAAUGAAACAGAACAAGUCAACAAAAUCUCAUAGCGCUGACACAGAAAUGAAAGACUUUGUGAGAAAGAAAAGAAAGUGAAGGAGGAACUGCGGACUUCAGAAGGGGAAAGACGGAGAAAACAAGAAGUGAGAGCCAGUGCAUGAGUCCAGAUGUGACCAAAGCCACAAUAGUAGCAGUUUUACAAAAAAAAAAAAAAAUUGGGGGCGGGGACAGGACAUAAAUAAGAAUGAUACAACACAAAAUUACAAAAAUAAGGUCCUACGUAAUUUGUAGCAGUUCAACAUGACAGUGUUUAAAAGAAUAAGUAGGGUGUUAAGCACUUCUUCCUGCCUAAAUUCCAGCACAUAAUUGAAAUUCCUUGAAAGUCCUUGGAAACUGUGUUACCGGCCAUGUGGAAAUGUGGUCAAGGGCCACUAAGUAUGAACCAGGCACACUCGUAUGAAGGAUUGCUCCUGUGCUGUUAAAGAUCGAUGAUCAUCUGCUUCUGUAAAAUGAAAAAGGUUUCCUAUAUCCCAUGGUUCAAAGCCUAAUUCACUUUCCUCUGCCUUGAAGUCUUGGAACCUUCCAAGCCUAAGCCAAUACAAUCUUUCCUGGUGUCUGGGACGCGUAUCCAGUGUGAAGGAUUUACUUGCGCUUGAAUAAGUGGCGAUGACUUAAAUUGAUUUUACACUCCUGCAGGGAAAUUAGUUGUAUAUGAAAUGGAGUUGGUGUACUUUUAGUUCUCUUUGAAGCCCAGGCACCAGUUGUAACUGGAUUGAUACUAAUUGGUUUGAACAGA